rnacentral:rRNA from 1 species
CAGCAGCCGCGGUAAUACGUAGGUGGCAAGCGUUGUCCGGAAUUAUUGGGCGUAAAGGGCUCGCAGGCGGUUUCUUAAGUCUGAUGUGAAAGCCCCCGGCUCAACCGGGGAGGGUCAUUGGAAACUGGGAAACUUGAGUGCAGAAGAAGAGAGUGGAAUCCCACGUGUAGCGGUGAAAUGCGUAGAGAUGUGGAGGAACACCAGUGGCGAAGGCGACUCUCUGGUCUGUAACUGACGCUGGGGAGCGAAAGCGUGGGGAGCGAACAGGAUUAGAUACCCCGGUAGUCCCUGUCUCUUAUAC